UUCCUUUCCCGUGCCCUUUCUUCGCCCGAUUCCUCUUCUUCCCCUCUUCUCUUCCUCUUCGUCACCGAACCCUUUCCCCUUCCUCUCCCUCUGCCGAUUUUCCCUCUUUUUCCUUUGCUUGUUCUCGUUGUAGCAACCACCUCCGCCGACACCAUUUGUCCGAUAGUGGGCCGAGACCCCCUCACUCACGAUCAUCGUUCGACAUCGGUACCUCUCUGUUUCCCCGAUCUCUGCCCUAGCCUCUCCAUAGUCCCUACCUUUCUUCAAAUCUCCGGUCGCCAGCCACCCGAGCCCUGACGCCUUCCGACUCACUGCCGAUCAGGACUCCCAUAACCUUCCCCCUCCUUUUCGCGUCGCCCCGGUGGCCACGACCAACACUGGUCGCCAACGCCCGAUCAAGCCGAGGCUCUUCUCCCCGAGUCUUCUCUGGUUCAUGGCUCGCCUCCCUGUGUCGCCUUGUCGACGUUGUCGACACCGGCCCGGUGCUACUAGCCACUGCCGCUGAGAUCCAAGUUUCGUCGCCCUAUUAUCUCCGAUCUACACUGUUGUUCGAUCUAGAGCUGUGCCUUAGCCUUGGGUAAUGUUGCUUCGCUAUAGUCGUUGGCCAGAUCGAUCCAUAGCCGUGAGCCACCCAUUGAUCGUGAACCAACAGUGGGCUACUGUUGGCAUUUGUGAAAUGCAAGGUGUUUCUUGGUUUUCAAUAGCUACCCCUAUUCUGGCAGCAACUACCUGGCUGUGGAUCAACAAGAGUGGUUUGGUGAAUUGAGGACUUUGAUUCGAGAUGAGCGUCUCGAUGUGGGAUCUUUCGGAUACGAUCUCCAUUUUUGA